rnacentral:rRNA from 1 species
UACGAAGGGGGCUAGCGUUGUUCGGAAUCACUGGGCGUAAAGCGCACGUAGGCGGACCGUUAAGUCGGGGGUGAAAUCCCAGGGCUCAACCCUGGAACUGCCUUCGAUACUGGCGAUCUUCGAGUCCGGGAGAGGUGAGUGGAACUCCGAGUGUAGAGGUGAAAUUCGUAGAUAUUCGGAAGAACACCAGUGGCGAAGGCGGCUCACUGGCCCGGUACUGACGCUGAAGUGCGAAAGCGUGGGGAGCCAAACAGGG